CUUUAUAUUUAUCACGAUGCCCAAAAAGUCGUGGUUUGGAAAAUGUGCCGUUUAGCAUUGAUCGCUUACGUUUGCAUCCAAAUUGUUGUUUAAAAAUUAUGAGUAAGUGAUCGGUAAUAAAAAUUAGUUUGUAGAUAAAUUUGUUGUUAAAACGGUUUUUUCCCAAUGUGUCCAGACACAUUUGUAUUUGUUCGCAUGUAUUGUUUAAGUCAUUACAAUUGUGAUCGGCUUUUGGUCAGGUUGUGGCUUAAUAAAGUAGUUGUGCACACCUGUAAUUAUAAGUACCGAUUGCAAACUAAUACUGGUAAUGUGAGCAGGCUAAUUGUGGUGGACAAAAAUCAUUGUUUAUUGGUAAUAAUUAUUUGC
rnacentral:misc_RNA from 1 species